GUGCCAGCAGCCGCGGUAAUACCGGCAGCCCGAGUGAUGGCCGAUAUUAUUGGGCCUAAAGCGUCCGUAGCUUGCCUAGCAAGUCUGUUGGGAAAUCCAGUGGCUCAACCACUGGCCGUCCGACGGAAACUGCACAGCUUGGGACCGGAAGGCUCGAAGGGUACGUUCGGGGUAGGAGUGAAAUCCCAUAAUCCCGCACGGACCACCGAUGGCGAAAGCACUUCGAGAAAACGGAUCCGACAGUGAGGGACGAAAGCCAGGGUCUCCAACCGGAUUAGAAACCCUUGUAGUCC
rnacentral:rRNA from 1 species